GAUGAAGAACGUAGCGAAAUGCGAUAAGUAAUGUGAAUUGCAGAAUUCAAUGAAUCAUCGAAUCUUUGAACGCACAUUGCGCCCCCUGGUAUUCCGGGGGGCAUGCCUGUCCGAGCGUCAUUACAACCCUCAAGCUCAGCUUGGUAUUGGGCCCCGCCGCUCCGGCGGGCCCUAAAGUCAGUGGCGGUGCCGUCCGGCUCCGAGCGUAGUAAUUCUUCUCGCUCUGGAGGCCCGGUCGUGUGCUCGCCAGCAACCCCCAAUUUUUUUCAGGUUGACCUCGGAUCAGGUAGGGAUACCCGCUGAACUUAAGCAUAUCAAUAAGCGGAGGA
rnacentral:misc_RNA from 1 species